GACAGAGGUGCCGAGCGUUAGGCGGAAUCACUGGGCUUAAAGCGUGUGUAGGCGGACUUGUAAGUACCUUGUGAAAUCCCAUGGCUCAACCAUGGAACUGCUUGGUAUACUGCUUGUCUUGAGCCACUUAGGGGCAGUCGGAACAGACGGUGGAGCGGUGAAAUGCGCAGAUAUCAGGAGGAACACCGAUGGCGAAGGCAGGUCUCUGGGCAUUAACUGACGCUGAGGAGCGAAAGCAUGGGGAGCGAACAGG
rnacentral:rRNA from 1 species